AUUGAACGCUGGCGGCAUGCUUUACACAUGCAAGUCGAACGGUAGGGUAGCAAUACCUGAGAGUGGCGAACGGGUGAGUAAUGCAUCGGAACAUGCCUAUUAGUGGGGGAUAGCCCGGCGAAAGCCGGAUUAAUACCGCAUACGAUCUAUGGAUGAAAGCUGGGGACCGCAAGGCCUGGCGCUAAUAGAGUGGCCGAUGUCAGAUUAGCUAGUUGGUGGGGUAAAGGCUCACCAAGGCGACGAUCUGUAGCUGGUUUGAGAGAACGACCAGCCACACUGGGACUGAGACACGGCCCAGACUCCUACGGGAGGCAGCAGUGGGGAAUUUUGGACAAUGGGCGAAAGCCUGAUCCAGCAAUGCCGCGUGCAGGAUGAAGGCCUUCGGGUUGUAAACUGCUUUUGUACGGAGCGAAAAGGCUUCCAUUAAUACUGGGGGCUCAUGACGGUACCGUAAGAAUAAGCACCGGCUAACUACGUGCCAGCCGCCGCGGUAA
rnacentral:rRNA from 1 species